GUGCUUGGUGUUGGACGGGUUGGUUGAGGCUCCUCAACCCCUCCUAAAAACAAUGACGGCGGCCUGUGGAACCCCCGGUACACUGAGCUUUUAACUGAGCACGUAUCGGACAAGGGUGCCCAGGGCACGGUCUUCUCCUUUGAUUAGGAAACUUUCUUAAGGUUGACCUCGGAUCAGGUAGGAAUACGCGCUGAACUUAA
rnacentral:misc_RNA from 1 species